rnacentral:misc_RNA from 1 species
UGGAAUAACCUUCCGUUGAUUGCGUUUGCGAGAAGGCUUGCGCCAUCACCUCGCGUUAGUGAAUCUCCGCGGCCUUGGCCAGCGCUUCCUUGAGCUUCGCCACGGUGAAUCCGGGAUCACGCGCGAUGCCGAGGAUUGGCUCCUCGCGGCGCUCGCACAGCCUUGCUGCAUCCGGGAGUUUUGCCGCGACAUUGGCCGGAAUCACGACCGCACCGUGACGAUCCGCAUGAAUGAGAUCGUCCGAGCUCACCGUCAUGCCGGCGACGCACACC